UUUGGCUAAGAUCACGUAUCUUGUCGGACGGUUGAGACUGCGAUCGCCUCUUGGAGGUUUCCUGACUCGAGAUCUUUUUAUAUCUUGAGUCACACAACUUCGAGAGGUACAUUGAACUCUGCUGCUUCUGGCUCCAACAAGUUUUAAGGUACAUGAAAAUGGAGGAGCUAUGGUCCGCAGGAGCCUCCAUAUGGAGCGGAUCAAAUUUUAACAAAAAUGAUGGAGUUGCGGUUUUAAUUAAUAAUCCUAACAUCUUGGUGAAGGGCAGCACUGUGCCCCCCUCGGCGGUUCCUGGUGAAACUGGAGAGGGCGGUGUUUUACUUCCUGUGGGGGUCCAAGUGGGAGCG